GCGUGAUGGCGUGCCUUUUGUAGAAUGAACCGGCGAGUGACGAUGGCGUGCGAGGUUAAGCCGAAGAGGCGGAGCCGCAGCGAAAGCGAGUCUGAAUAGGGCGAAAAGUACGUCGUCGUCGACCCGAAACCAGGUGAUCUACCCAUGUCCAGGGUGAAGGCCGGGUAACACCGGCUGGAGGCCCGAACCCACGCACGUUGAAAAGUGCUGGGAUGAGGUGUGGGUAGGGGUGAAAUGCCAAUCGAACUUGGAGAUAGCUGGUUCUCCCCGAAAUAGCUUUAGGGCUAGCCUCGGGAUGGAGAGUGUUGGAGGUAGAGCACUGAUUGGGCUAGGGGCCCUCAUCGGGUUACCGAACCCAGUCAAACUCCGAAUGCCAACGACUUAUGCCCGGGAGUCAGACUGCGAGUGAUAAGAUCC
rnacentral:rRNA from 1 species